CCUACGGGAGGCAGCAGUGGGGAAUAUUGGGCAAUGGGCGCAAGCCUGACCCAGCAACGCCGCGUGAAGGAAGACGGCUCUCGGGUUGUAAACUUCUUUUGGCAGGGAAGAGUAGAAGACGGUACCUGACGUAUAAGCAAUGGCCAACUACGGGCCAGCAGCCGCCGUAAUACGUAGGUCGCCAGCGUUGCGCGGAUUUACUGGGUGGAAAGGGCGUGUUGCCGGGUUGACAUGUCCGAGGGGAAAACCUGCGGGUUAACCGCAGCACUGCAUUUGAAACUGUGGAUCUUGAGUACGGGGGAGGCAGACGGAAUUCCUGGUGUAGCGGUGAAAUGCGUAGAUAUUAGGAGGAACACCAGUGGCGAAGGCGGUCUGCUGGACAGCAACUGACGGUGAGGCACGAAAGCGUGGGGAGCGAACAGGAUUAGAUACCCGAGUAGUC
rnacentral:rRNA from 1 species